rnacentral:lncRNA from 12 species
UAACUUCUGCGCUGGCAUAGUUAUGUGGCCAGCAUGCUGAUGAAGGGAAGUUUACAUUACACGUCUUUGGGUUACAAAUGACUGUGUAACCAGCAUCCUGUCUUCCUAACUCAGGCUGCUUGGCCCUUGGGCCGGGCCGGUUCAGGAGCGCUCCAUACCAGCUGCCAGGCCUUUCCCGUCCUGGAAAAUGGAACUCGGGAGCUGACCUUGCCUGGAGCCCGUUGUCUCAAAGCCGAGUCUCAAAGCCGAGCUCCGCAGAUGCCGGCUGAGAUGCUAAAUGGUUGGUGUCUCAGGGAAUCUCAGGUUCUGAGUGGGGCCUCGCAACCCAACCACUCCUGUGGAGAAUGAAGGUGUGAGCCCUUCCUGGGAAGUGAGAGCCCCCCAGAGAGGAGGACAGCAAUGGGGGACCCAAAAGGCAGCCAGAGCUCGAUUAGUCUCCCUGAUGCAGAUUUGAUGCCUUUUUAAAAAGUGAUGUUUGCUCCCAGAAUAUUAUGAGGCUACUAUAAAUAAAGGCUCUUUUUGACAUGCCAAAAAAAAAGUGAUGUCUGGAAAAUUAAUUUUUUCUAAUUAAUUUUAAAACCAAAAGACCCAAGUGAGAUGUCUUGAUAACUCCUGCCUUCUCCCCUCCUCCCCUCACCCCUCGUGGCUCACACACCCCAACUCAGGCCCCAGCCCUCGUGCUGGAGUCUGCCUAAACGACCUGUCCAGUAGAGCACAGGCUUCUGGAGAGAGGAACUGACCUUGCGGCUGCACUUCCUCCCAAGAUGCCAGCAAAUGGCCCCGAAAGAUGCCUCUCAUUGAUAAUCGUGACUUGUCUGGACCAAGGAAAUUCAUGAUCGGGCCUCCUGCACCCAGGAUUGUGACCAACAAAUACGUAUUGCUUCUGUCAUCUUGCAUAUGUGAGAACAGCUGGCAAGGACGGAAAUCAGCCCCAAAUCCAAGGAACAGAAGUCACCACAGCUGAGCUGCGGAGGAGCCUG